UAUCCGGAUUUAUUGGGUUUAAAGGGAGCGUAGAUGGAUGUUUAAGUCAGUUGUGAAAGUUUGCGGCUCAACCGUAAAAUUGCAGUUGAUACUGGAUGUCUUGAGUGCAGUUGAGGCAGGCGGAAUUCGUGGUGUAGCGGUGAAAUGCUUAGAUAUCACGAAGAACUCCGAUUGCGAAGGCAGCCUGCUAAGCUGCAACUGACAUUGAGGCUCGAAAGUGUGGGUAUCAAACAGGAUUAGAUACCCUGGUAGUCCACACGGUAAACGAUGAAUACUCGCUGUUUGCGAUAUACGGCAAGCGGCCAAGCGAAAGCGUUAAGUAUUCCACCUGGGGAGUACGCCGGCAACGGUGAAACUCAAAGGAAUUGACGGGGGCCCGCACAAGCGGAGGAACAUGUGGUUUAAUUCGAUGAUACGCCAGG
rnacentral:rRNA from 1 species